CAAGAAAGUUGUAGAACUGAAAGAUCAAAAAAGCACACGAGAGCAUGGAAGAAAAACGAACCAGGAGAGAUGAAAAGAAGAGGCAGGAGAGUGGGUUAAUAAAAUACCUUUAAGACAGAGAAAAAGAAAGCUUCCGUCUCUCUUAUUUGUCCAGGCUGUAUGCAGCCUAUAGUUCCAAAAUGGGGUGCAGAUACCAACACUGUUCCUCCUCAGAGAGGAAGGCAGGAGGAGUCUGAGACGGAAGGAGGAAUAAAACACCAGCAGGCUGCUGUUUCACAGGCUGGAAUGUGUUCUGCCUGUAUUAUAUAUCACUGCUCCUAGCCCCGACAGGAUGAAGAUGAGAGACAAGCCAUGGGAAAGGAGGCUUCUCCCACUGAACUGGAGAGUGGAACAGAGGAUUGACAGUGCUGUGAAGAUCUGACUCCUGGCUAUGAAAGAAAGUUGCUCACUUCUAUGAUGACAACUGCACCAUUUCCAGAGGUCAGUUUGAGAAGACUUUAGAUGCAAGCACACUAAUUUUGUAACUGUAUUAAUAAAUUAGAGUGGUGGCCUUGUCA